UAUCUCUCCGUACGGGGAAGGAUGAGAAGCUUCGACUAAGGUUCGAUUCGAGCGCAGCGAGAAAGCGUUGCCGCAGGCAA
rnacentral:sRNA from 3 species